CCUCUCGUAUAAGGGUGAGACCUGAUGCCGAGCCGAUUGUGGUGAAGUGGAUGAUCCUAUGCUGUCGAGAAAAGCCUCUAGCGAGUUUCAUGGCGGCCCGUACCCUAAACCGACUCAGGUGGUCAGGUAGAGAAUACCGAGGCGUUCGGGUGAACUAUGGUUAAGGAACUCGGCAAAAUGCCCCCGUAACUUCGGGAGAAGGGGGGCCACACUCGGUGAUGGGAUUUACUCCCUGAGCUGGGGGUGGCCGCAGAGACCAGCGAGAAGCGACUGUUUACUAAAAACACAGGUCCGUGCGAAGCCGUAAGGCGAUGUAUACGGACUGACGCCUGCCCGGUGCUGGAACGUUAAGGGGACCGGUUAGCUCCAUUUCGGUGGGGCGAAGCUGAGAACUUAAGCGCCAGUAAACGGCGGUGGUAACUAUAACCAUCCUAAGGUAGCGAAAUUCCUUGUCGGGUAAGUUCCGACCUGCACGAAUGGCGUAACGACUUCUCGACUGUCUCAACCAUAGGCCCGGUGAAAUUGCACUACGAGUAAAGAUGCUCGUUUCGCGCAGCAGGACGGAAAGACCCCGGGACCUUUACUACAGUUUGAUAUUGGUGUUCGGUUCGGCUUGUGUAGGAUAGCUGGGAGACUUUGAAGCUCAUACGCCAGUGUGGGUGGAGUCGUCGUUGAAAUACCAGUCUGGUCGUGCUGGAUGUCUAACCUGGGUCCGUGAUCCGGAUCAGGGACAGUGUCUGAUGGGUAGUUUAACUGGGGCGGUUGCCUCCUAAAGGGUAACGGAGGCGCCCAAAGGUUCCCUCAGCCUGGUUGGUAAUCAGGUGUUGAGUGUAAGUGCACAAGGGAGCUUGACUGUGAGACCGACGGGUCGAGCAGGGACGAAAGUCGGGACUAGUGAUCCGGCGGUGGCUUGUGGAAGCGCCGUCGCUCAACGGAUAAAAGGUACCCCGGGGAUAACAGGCUGAUCUUCCCCAAGAGUCCAUAUCGACGGGAUGGUUUGGCACCUCGAUGUCGGCUCGUCGCAUCCUGGGGCUGGAGUCGGUCCCAAGGGUUGGGCUGUUCGCCCAUUAAAGCGGUACGCGAGCUGGGUUUAGAACGUCGUGAGACAGUUCGGUCCCUAUCCGCUGUGCGCGUAGGAGUCUUGAGAAGGGCUGUCCCUAGUACGAGAGGACCGGGACGGACGAACCUCUGGUGUGCCAGUUGUUCUGCCAAGGGCAUGGCUGGUUGGCUACGUUCGGGAGGGAUAACCGCUGAAAGCAUCUAAGCGGGAAGCCUGCUUCGAGAUGAGGACUCCCACCCACUUGAUGGGGUAAGGCUCCCAGUAGACGACUGGGUUGAUAGGCCGGAUCUGGAAGCCAGGUAACUGGUGGAGGUGACCGGUACUAAUAGGCCGAGGGCUUGUCCUC
rnacentral:rRNA from 1 species